rnacentral:rRNA from 1 species
AGCAGCCGCGGUAAUUCCAGCUCCAAUAGCGUAUAUUAAAGUUGUUGCAGUUAAAAAGCUCGUAGUUGAACUUCGGGGUUUACUCAUUGGUCAGGCUUAAUUGUCUGUACUGGUGAGAUGAAUCUCUACCUUCUGAGGAACUUUCAUGCCAUUUAUUUGGUGCGAUUGGAAAUCAGGACUGUUACUUUGAAAAAAUUAGAGUGUUUAAAGCAGGCUAACGUCUGAAUACAUUGGCAUGGAAUAAUGAAAUAGGACGGAUUGAUUCUAUUUCGUUGGUUUCUAGGGUCACCGUAAUGAUUAAUAGGGAUAGUUGGGGGCAUUAGUAUUCAAUUGUCAGAGGUGAAAUUCUUGGAUUUAUUGAAGACUAACUACUGCGAAAGCAUUUGCCAAGGAUGUUUUCAUUAAUCAAGAACGAAAGUUAGGGGAUCGAAGACGAUCAGAUACCGUCGUAGUCUUAACCAUAAACUAUGCCGACUAGGGAUCGGACGAAGUUAAUUUUAUAAUGACGCGUUCGGCACCU